AUUAGCCCAUUUCUCCCAUAGUGAUCAGCCAAACCAGAAGAGAAGAGAAACCAAGGACGAACAAACCCUAGGUGGGAAAAAUCAAAGAGAAAGUGUUGGAAUUCAAGGAUUUGAUCAAGCAAAGGUAAAAUUUCUUUGAUUUUGCUAGUGAUUUACCUUACCCAUGCAUUUUUCCUUAAUUUCCAUGGUUAAAUUACAUGUUUUCAUGAUGAAAUUAUGGCUGGUCAAAAUGGGUAUGGAGAGAGAAAGAUGUUGGAAUUGUUUGAUUUUGAGUUAUGUUGGUGUUUAGAGUUAGUUAAACAUGUUUAGAAACAAAACAACAAGAAAAGAAUCCAUUUUCCCCAUGAACCUUCAAUGGCCGAAAGUUCCAAGAAGAAAAGUGAAGAUAAAUUUGCCUAAUUGUGUGUUAAUUAGUUGUGCUUGGUGAAUUGAGGGAUUGGAAAAGAAAUGGAGAAAGUUGGAGUGAAAUUGGACGCAUUGGCCAAUUUAUUGGAUGAAAAAUCGACUUAGGUCAAUACCGGGUCUAGAUGGCUACCUGUGCAUUUUUCAUUUCAUAUCAUGCAUAUAUAUCGAGCCUGAAAUAGCUUAUGACUGUUAGACACAAUUUAAUUGAAAUAUGUGCCAUGGAUUAAGGCUAGGUGGUGAGCCAUUAGAUACGAGUAAAGGACUGUACCCGCGGACUGAAAAUAGGAGUAUAUCGACUCCUAGAACAAUGAGUAAACUUACUAUCAUCUUAAUUAUCUAGAGUAGAUUUAUUUAAUUAAGUGGUUUUAUGGAAAAUGGUUUAAUUGGAAAAUUAUUGUGUUCUAUGGGAAAAUGAGAUUUUAUAAAAUA
rnacentral:lncRNA from 1 species